rnacentral:rRNA from 1 species
GAUGAACGCUAGCGGGAGGCUUAACACAUGCAAGUCGAGGGGCAGCAUGGGGUAGCAAUACUUUGGUGGCGACCGGCGCACGGGUGAGUAACGCGUAUGCAACCUGCCCUGUACUGGGAGAUAACCCGGAGAAAUUCGGACUAAUAUCCCAUAAUGAUAUUUGGAGGCAUCUUUGAAUAUUUAAAGUUCCGACGGUACAGGAUGGGCAUGCGUAACAUUAGCUAGUUGGCAGGGUAACGGCCUACCAAGGCAACGAUGUUUAGGGGUCCUGAGAGGGUGAUCCCCCACACUGGUACUGAGACACGGACCAGACUCCUACGGGUGGCUG